rnacentral:rRNA from 1 species
AUUGAACGCUGGCGGCAGGCUUAACACAUGCAAGUCGAGCGGAGAUGAGGUGCUUGCACCUUAUCUUAGCGGCGGACGGGUGAGUAAUGCUUAGGAAUCUGCCAUUUAGUGGGGGACAACAUUCCGAAAGGAAUGCUAAUACCGCAUACGUCCUACGGGAGAAAGCAGGGGAUCUUCGGACCUUGCGCUAAAUGAUGAGCCUAAGUCGGAUUAGCUAGUUGGUGGGGUAAAGGCCUACCAAGGCGACGAUCUGUAGCGGGUCUGAGAGGAUGAUCCGCCACACUGGGACUGAGACACGGCCCAGACUCCUACGGGAGGCAGCAGUGGGGAAUAUUGGACAAUGGGCGGAAGCCUGAUCCAGCCAUGCCGCGUGUGUGAAGAAGGCCUUUUGGUUGUAAAGCACUUUAAGCGAGGAGGAGGCUACUAGUACUAAUACUACUGGAUAGUGGACGUUACUCGCAGAAUAAGCACCGGCUAACUCUGUGCCGGCAGCAGCCGCGGUAA